UGGGCUGUGGCUCAGUGGGUAGAGCGCUUGCCUGGCAUAUGUGAGGCACUGGGUUCGAGUCUCAGCACUGCAU
rnacentral:tRNA from 1 species